rnacentral:rRNA from 1 species
GACGUAGGGCGCAAGCGUUGUCCGGAUUUAUUGGGCGUAAAGAGCUCGUAGGCGGCUUGUUGCGUCGUCCGUGAAAACCUGUGGCUCAACUACAGGCUUGCGGUCGAUACGGGCGGGCUGGAGUUCGGUAGGGGAGACUGGAAUUCCUGGUGUAGCGGUGAAAUGCGCAGAUAUCGGGAAGAACACCCGUGGCGAAGGCGGCUCUCUGGAACGCAACUGACGCUGAGACGCGAAAGCGUGGGGAGCAAACAGG